rnacentral:lncRNA from 1 species
CAUUGAAUAAAAAAUAAAGAGCUAUAUAACCUUGUUAUUAACGUUGAUAUAAAAGAUAUACCCUGAAAAAUUGACUAGACUAAUACUGUGAGGACCCGUGCAGACGUCAAUAUAGUCUCACAUCAAUUAUUCGUUGGAUAGAUCUUGCAUACUUAUACAUAAUUAAAAAAUCUAAAUAAUACAUUCCGACUAAUUUUUUGGGGUGAGAUUCUAGGUUGUUGUAAAUAGUAUCAGAGCGACUUGGCCUAUAACGUAUGUAAACUAGGAGACAUUACAGUAUGGAUCAUUGGGGCUAACCAUGCGCCGAUCGUGGUGCUUGUGAUUAGAUUUAAACCCUCCUCGAGAACGUCAGGGA